AAUAUUGCACACUAGGCGCAAGCCUGAUGCAGUCAUGCCGCGUGUGUGAAGAAGGUCUUCGGAUUGUAAAGCACUUUAAGUCGGGAGGAAGGGUUGUAGGUUAAUACCCUGCAAUUUUGACGUUACCAACAGAAUAAGCACCGGCUAACUUCGUUCCAGCAGCCGCGGUAAUACGAAGGGUGCAAGCGUUAAUCGGAAUUACUGGGCGUAAAGCGCGCGUAGGUGGUUCGUUAAGUUGGAAGUGAAAGCCCCGGGCUUAACCUGGGAAUUGCUUUCAAAACUGACGAGCUAGAGUACGGUAGGGGGUAGUGGAAUUUCCUGUGUAGCGGUGAAAUGCGUAGAUAUAGGAAGGAACAUCAGUGGCGAAGGCGACUACCUGGACUGAUACUGACACUGAGGUGCGAAAGCGUGGGGAGCAAAC
rnacentral:rRNA from 1 species